rnacentral:lncRNA from 1 species
CGCGCGGCCCGACCUGGACGGUGGCUCCGAAGGACCAAAAGCCGUCGUCCCCACCUCCCUCCCUUUUCCCGCGCAACCUAAAUUUCACGUGGGCCACACAAGAAAGUGUGGGUAUCGAGAAACCAACGCGCCCGGGGCAGUGCCCUCUUAGGGUUGUCCAAAGAAGGUGCGAAAGAUUUGGAGGCAGCAAUAGGCGUGGAGGGAAUUUGAGAUGGGGGCUGCAGCCAAGGGCUUUGAGAUUUUUAUGCUGGCCUCCCCUGACCCCGCAAAAACCGACAGCGGAAGGAUGGAGGAUCUGAAGACAAAUCACAGAACCAGAGGCUCUCAGGAGACGCCAGCUCACCCACAGUAAACGUGCACUUUUAUGGUCCUCAGCACAGCUUGGCAUGAGCUCGUGUGCCAUGCUGUGCACAAAUACAUCCAACGUAACAAGCAGCUGGCCCAUAGUGAGUGCUCAAGAAAUAUUUGAUGGAUGAUGAACGAACCUCUCAACUCAGAUCUGGUCCAGAACCCACCAGAUGGUGAUCAGUGAGCCCAACCAUUGAAGCGGCUGAGACCCUGGAAGCAGAGACGCACUACCAGGUUAAUGUAACUAUAAUGGAAAAUCCACACAGACCCAGCAUUUACAGGUGACCUCUCUUCAGGUGGAAACAGACAUUGAAAUUCAGAGAGCGUGCCCAGUGCGGUUUAAAGAAUCUUUGUUGCUAAGGUUUGAUCUUCCUGUUUUCCAAGAAGGAUUUUGGGAGCCUGCUCAUGUCUUCCAUGCAGUGCCCUUGGAGGGAGGAUGACUGAACAGAAUGAAUGCAGAACAGAUUGUGAGUCUUGUGUGACGCUUCUGGUGUUUAAAGAUGGAACGAGGAGAUCAAAAUCGUCCAUGACCAUCUCAAGUCUGUCAAAUUAAA